CAUAGUAAGUGGUAACAGUGCCAGCAGAGUUGCCUGGGACCAGCUUAAUGUUCAUAUCAAUCUUCCCAAACAGAUAUUGGUUCUUGGAUUGAAAACCAGAGCCGGAGAAUUUGUCGAGGGUGAGAGUGAGAAGGUUUCCGUUUUCGAGAAUCUUGCCCCUGCCAUCACCCCAAGUAACAUCGAUGUCUUGGUUAAAGUUGGCAGCUGAGGCAAGUAUUACAAAGCUGAAUAAAAGAGAGAGAAGCAACGAAGUGGUCAUUAUUUUGGUGGGUUUGUAUUGUAAUUUAGAUUAUGAUGUUUGAAAUGGGGAAGUGAUAGAGGGUGGUUAUAUAGGGGGGAAGGAUUUGGUGAAACAGAGUAGAGAGGGGUUGUUUGGAAGCUUCGUGGUAUGUGUUUCCGUCGGGACAUUGAGUGAAUCGAAGUUGUAAACAGCUGGAACCGUAAAAGAGAAAGAAAGAAGGGGUCCAAAUGUGAUAAUACAUAACUAAUGGCUGUUCCUUGCUUCCAAAAUGCAUGUUUAAUUAAUGGGUUUGGUGCCUUCUUCCUAUGUCUGGUUGGUGCAAGCAGAUAGAUAUGAAUGUCAGGAAUUUAAUCCGAUUUUAAAAUUUGAGCUUUUAAAUAAAAAAUAAAUUAUUUAAGAUAAUAUCAAUGACUGUUAAAAUAAACUUUAAAAAUAUAGGUGUUUUUAUAUCCAAUAGUAAGUUACAUUAUAUUUUUAAAAAGAAGAUCGUGUAUUUGAAUUUUGAAAAUAUUGAAAUGAUCUUAAAAUAAACAUGAUUAAUUUGUUCUACAAUUUGAGUGAACCAAAAGAUUUCAUUAGCUUAAAAUCAACGGUGUUAAUUAAUAUGAGUAAUUGUCAAUGGCAAAACCAGGGGAGGAUAGCAGGGUCUUAGACCCCCUAAAAUAAAAAAAAUUUCGUAUGAUCUUUUGAGUAAAGGUAAAAUUAUAUUUUGGUCAAACUUAGAAAUAUAAAAAUUUAAUUUAAUCUUUUAAAAUUUAUAAAAAUAUAGUCUAUUAAAAUAAUAAAAUUAUAUUUUUUAUCGUAAAAAUUACAAUUUAAUUUUAACUGUUAAAUUUUUUUUAAAAUUUCACCCAUAUUGAUUGACUAAUUUUUGGGACCAACAAAAACUCAUCCACUGGGCUCAUCAUCUCAAACAAAAAUAAUAAUUAAACUAAUUAUAAAAAUGUCUAACCAAGUUCACAUUUUUAACAUUCUUUCAAUGAAAAUUAAAAUGAUUUUUACGCUUCGCGUUAAUUUAAUUAUUUAUUUAUCUCAAAUUUUGGAGUAUAAAUUUGAAUGUUAAAAUAUACUUUAAUCCUCCUAUCAUUUUCAGAAAUUUAAACCCUCUACUCUUGAGGAUAAAUAGACAUAAAUGAUUUGUUUAACUAUUAAGUAGAAAUUAAUCACAAAUAAUUAAAAUAGAAAAAUAAAAUUUAAAAUUUUUAAAAAAUAUAUAUUUGAACAUUAAGUAGCAAAAAAAAAACAAGUAACUUAAAUGUGAAAAUAAAAUUUAAAAAUUAUAAAAAUUAAUUCUUUUCCAAAAUACUAAUUAAAUUGUCUUUAUUAAGUUUUAAUACCUAAAUUACUUCUACUAAUUUUUUUUAUAGUACCUAAGCUACCCCUACUUACUCCUUAUGGCUAUCAAAGGAGAUGGUUUUAUUAUUUAUAGAUAGAUAGAUAACUUUAAAUAAAAGAAUGUUCAUCAAUUAGCUUUUAAAGUAUUGAUAAGUGUUAAAAGUAAUAUAUUUUAACCUCAUUCUUAAUGUGUUUUUGGGUGAUAAUUCGAUGUUAAUUGUGAAUUUUAUACUCUUAAUCCUUUAAAUUCAUGUUUUGAUGCCUAAUAGAGCAAAAGGAGCAAAAAACGAGUAAAAACCGAAAAAUCAAAGCAAGUUAUAGGACCUAUACGGGCAAACCCAUUCCACAUGACCAUGUGACCCACAUGAGCUACCAUACGAGCGUGUGGUAGGUCGUGUCGAUUGCACGGAUUUGCAUUCUGAAUAGCAAAAAAUCACGUUUUUAAAGUGUUUUAGGCAUUCUAAAACGUAUAUUUGACAAAAAUAAAAAGAUAGAAGGGAGCCAUUAUAGAAUUUUCAAGAAAACAACUCGAAAAACACCAUUGAAGCCGAUUCUGAAGUAGAUUUCCGUCAAGAUUGAAGACUCUCAGUUGAUUUCUUAAGAGAUUGUCAUAAGUUUUUUUUAUUUCUUUCGGUUAUACUGUAUCUUGGAUUUUUUUUUUCAAGCAUGAAUUAAUUUUCUAAAUACCUAGGGAGAUGAACCUUAUGAUGGAUUCUUACGUUUGAUUUUUAUUUUACGCAAUAAAUAAUUAUUUUUUAUUCUUAAUUAUCUGUGCUUAAUUUAUUGGUUUAAUAUUUCUAAACUAUUGAUCCAUAUUUGAUGUACUUAAAUCAGAGGUUAAAUAAACCAUAUGUAAGAGUAGAUUUUGCUUAAUUGAGUGGAGUUGCAUGCAAUCCCAAAAAUAUGAUGACAUAAAUCUAUUGGAUUAGAGUCAAAUCUAAUUGGGAAAUCCAUAGCCCGAGUUAAUGCGAUAAUAAGAGUUUUAAUUAAAAAGAACAAUCAAUUAAUCAACCUAGAGUCAGUUGCUCUUAUUCUCGAAAGAGAUAUUAGCAUAAUUAGGGGUUUCCAUGGAUCAUGUCACUAAAUAAAGAAAUUGCGUAAUUUAGAUUGAUAGUGACAGAUGAAAUCUAGGUGAAUUAUUUCAUGAGUAUUGUUUCGCUUCUUAGUUAUUAAUCCUUUAUUUGCUUCUUUUGUUCUUUGCUAUGUUUAUUAGUUAAUUAAAUUUAGUUUUUAAAUCAAUCACUUGAAUUAUUCUGUUAAAUGAUAGAAAAAGAUAAUAAUUAUUAGCACUUUUAAUUUUCAUAGAAACGAUAUCUUUAUUCAUUAUACCUAUACAAUUAACUGAUAAAUAAAUUUACUUUAGCUAGUUCCGUGGACAUAAAGUAAUACCAAUAAUUCGGAAUGAAUGAUAGGAAAUUUGAUUUUUUUUAUUGAAAUUUUAUAAAUAAAAAAUAAUAUUGAGAAAUCCAACUUAAGAAUUCAACACUAAUAUCACAUAAGAGAAAAGACAUAUGAUAUGAUAGGAAAGCAGGUUGAUGACUGGCUUGUGGAUAAUUAUGAAAAGGCAAACAAAAGAGAGAAUAUGAUUACAAAUAAACAGCUGGCUGCCAGAAUCAUUUCAUUGUGAAAAAAAUAUGUUAUAACAUGUUAAAAUAAUAUUAAUUUAUAUUAUAAUUAUAAUUAAUAUAAUAUGAAUGUCAAGCCCUCGAAUAAAUGCCUAUAAAAUAAUGUUGUGGCAUGGCCCCAUGGAGGUCUUGUUUGGAAUGGAUGUAUGUAUCAGUAUAUCCCACCAACUUCAAGUCGGUUGGCACACAAUACACGAACAAAUCAUUCACAAUAUCACAAUAUGGUAAAAUAAUAUAGAUCCCCACUUUUUUUUUACUUGAAAUCGCGAAAUUUUUACCAAGAUAAGUGCUAUUCGAGAACAAUUAAUUGAUUUAGAUUUGUGAAUUCGUAGAGAUUAUUUGGAGGUAGAAUGGAAAAAGUUAGGAGAAGAAUGCUCAUGAGUUAUGAAUGAGAAUAACAAAAAAUUAGAAGAAGAAAGGAUUUUUUUUUGGUUAGGUGCUUGGAAUGGAAUUGGUUAAGCAUUUUAUUCGAACAGAUAUAGAACUGGAAUGAAUGGUUUUAUGUCGUUUGGCUGUUCAGAUCUUACCUGUUAUAGAGAGGUGGUUGUUAUACACCUAUAACAACAUGUUGUUAUAGAGAGAUAAUAAGCUUACCAUAAAAUUUGUAUUGUGAAUUUUUAUUAAAUAAAGAAAAUGAGAAUUAUAUUAAAAAAAGAAAGAAAAUAGGAACCAAAUAAAUAAAAUUAAAAGACAUAUAAUAAGUGUAUGUAUUAUUGUUUUUAUGCAUAUUUUAUUUUACAUUAUUUCACAUGAUUAAUUAUAAAGUCCAUAAAUCUAAUAAGUUCAAUUAAUCAAUGAGUUAUCAAAUUAAAUUAAUUAAUUAAUUAAUUUAUAAUCAUUGUUAACCAAUGAGGUAAACAAGAGGAAGAAGAAGAUGAUUGAACAAGGAAGAAUGAAGUGAAGGUUGGGGAGUGGUUUUAGUUUUGAAGAUAGUUAGGGGAUUGGGAAGGAGUGUGUACGUGAAUCUAUAUGACUUGUUUGCAUGCCCCUUUUAUAGUGGGGAAUAAGCUUGGAUACGUGUCUUGAGGUUACUGACAUGGAAAUUUGAUUUGAUACCCUUGGCAGUGAUAAUGAUACUACGUCCUAGAAUCACGUCCUAAGAUGAGAUGUUAUAGGGUGACUAGCAAUUAAUUACUUUGGUCCUCCACGUGCCCCCACAUAGUCUUAGCGGAGUUGUUCCUUUCUAAAGUUCAUCGAGUUGAUGUUCGUGAACCAACCCUAAGUUCGUAAUGUAGUUGGUUCCAUUGAGAGAUACGCGUUCAGCUCUCUAUGGAUGCACUUUGAGGUUCAUAAAGUACAUUGUAAGGUCUGGGAGGAUCACUAGACAAGGUAUAACAAUCAUGAAUUACUAAAUUCAAGUAAUCAAUUUAUAACUUUAUGAUAUUUCAAAUUCAUAGCAAAAUAUUUAAUUAGGGAGCUUAAUAGUUUAUGGAAUUGAUAUAUUUAAUUUCACUCAGUGAAGAUUAUUUUCAUUUAAUAAAACAUGAUUAAUAAAUUUCUUCAAGUGAAAAUUAAUCAUUUUGUUGAAAUAAUAUUUUGAUUAAGAUAAUUUUCAUUUAAUAAAUGCUAAGUAAUAGGCUUGCUUAUAUGAAAGAGCUAUAAUUUUACUUAAAAUUUAGAUAAUAUGUUGUUAUAGAGAACUAAUUUAAUAAAGAACGUACUUCAUAAUUAUAGAUGUUACAAUUAAUAGUGAAAAAUUAUUAUAGAAAGUUAAAAUAGAAUAUUAAAAAUCGAUUCUUCUAAAAAUUUAACUAUUAUAAUAGAAUGUUGUUAUAACGAGUGAUUGUUAUAGAAAAAAAUAAUGCAUUACCCUAACAAAAUAGAUAAAUUUAAACUCUGACAAUUAUGAAUGAAGCAUAUUAAUUUUAAUUUCUCCUCUUAAUAUCUAAUCUAAGGUUUUGGUUUAACUUGCAUAUUUCAAUGAAUUAAUGAAUUUUGUUUAUCUAUUGUGAAAACUAUAUAUUUAGAAUACAUAUAAUAGAUUAAAAAUAAUGAAAUAUAAAUAUUGAAAUUAAUUAACAAUAACACAUAAAAUAUGUACGAUAUUAAAAUAAAAUUUACAUAUUAAAUUGUGAGUAAAAUAAAAUUUAAAGACAUAAACACAUCAUAUUAAGAGCACUAAAUACACUCCAAUUGCUUAUUAUGGUGUUGUCAUCAAUCUAGAGUUAGUGCUGAAUUCACUUAUGACACCAACUCAAUCAGCAACAUUAUUAAUACUAGAAAUUUUAUCACACAUAAGCGUGUGGAAAUCACAUAUUUAGAAUACAUAUAUGUGUUUAAAAAUAACAUGUAAUAAAUAAUAAAAGAUAUUGUUUGAAACUAAUAAUAAGACACAUGCAAUAUGUACGAAAUUAAAAUGAAAAAAUAUAGUUUAAAUUGUAAUUUUUAAAAAAAGUCAUUUUCCUAUAACAUGUCAAAAAGUUAUUGAAAGAAAAUUCAAUAUUAAAAUUCAAAUUAUGGCACACCCACAAUGUUUGUGAAAAAUUAAAUUACGUAUCAAAUAUAUUUGUAAAAAACUUAUAUAAAUAAUAAAUAAUGUUUUAGUUGAAUGGUAAAAUAUAAAUGAGAAAAAUUAAAGAGACAUGAGUUUAAAUCUUAUUUUAUAUACACAUGAGCGCGCGCACACACACAUAUAUAUUUGCAUUUUUCUAUUUUUAUAUAAAAUAAAUAAAAUGAUAGAAAUGCCUUCAAAAUAAUACAAUUUAUUUCAUAUAGUCAGGGUAUUUUAAUCUUUUUUCAACUGAGUUGGUAUCUAAUUAACCCGUGACACCAACUCAAUAAGGAGCCUUAAGUAUAGAUAUACAAUUGGUGGAGGUAAUAUAGCGUGCAUAAUAAAAUUAAAAUGUAAAAAGAUAAAAUAAAUCUUUAGUUGAGCGGUAAUUUAAGCUUUUAUUAAUACCAUCAACUUGGGUUCAAGUCCCACUGAUUGUAUUUAUUAUUCUUUUUAAAUAAAAAGAUAAAAGUACCCUCGAAAAAUAAAAUUUAUUUUUAAGUAUUAAAGAACAUUAUGAUAAUUUUCCUAAUUGAGUCGGUACUUAAUUGACUUAUGGAAUUAACUUAAUCAAGAACUUGAAUAAUAGUAUAGAUAAUGACUUGUUUGUAUAUACAUGUUCAAUUUUGUAUGUUGAAAAAAACCUUGUUAUUGAAGAUGUAUUUAUAUUUCCUCAGCAAAAUUGAAAAUAGAGAAAAAUAUAAAGAGAAACGAUUUUUUAUUGUUUUUAUUUGUGUGCUUGAUAAAAUAUACGAAAAAUUGAAAGUAAAAGUAAUUUUUUUUUUAUUGAUUGUUUAGUAGAGUUAAAAAAUGAAUUCAUUAAAAAUGGCUUCUGUCAUAAUUUGCUUCCGAACUAUAAGUACUUAAAUAAAUUUUUUUGUCCCAUUUUGAUACCUCAUUCAUUAUAAUUUUCGGUCCAAAAUAUUAAUGGUAUUAAAAAAAUUGUCAAACCAACCAAUGCGCUACAUGUUUGACAUUUUCACGUGUCAUUAAUUAUGUGACCAAUUAUCGAUGAUGUGGUCGUUAAUCAUUGAUCGUAUCGAACAACUGUUUGCUAGACAUUGGUUGGCAUGUAAAAGAAGGUCACAUAUACCAUUAAUUUUUUGGACCAAAAUUUAUAACAAAACAAUAGUUUAGGUAUUAAAAUAGGGAAAAAUGUUUACGCAAUAAAAUAAGAAAAGCAGAAUAGUGACUCGUGACCUAAACUUAAAAAAAAAUGCAUAAUUUUGAUAUAACAUACAUUUCUCUUAUCAUCCCAAUUUAUCAUAAUUUAUUUUUAUGCACUAAAAUGUAAAAUUAUUAUCCCUUCUUAUAUUUGAUCAAGUACGCCCUAUUUUUACUUCUUCACUUUUAUCUUACUUUUUAUUACAACACCAAUUUUAAAAAUAAAUAGAGUUGAAACAACAUUUUAAAAAAUAAUAAGAAACAUGACUAGGUUUACACAUUCAACCUCGUUUAUUUAUUGCCUUUUGACACAGUAAAUUUCCAGAGCAAGGGAAGACAUAAUCGUAGGAUAAAAGUUGCAAAGUUUGGCAUUCUGAUCUCAAUUUUUUAAAAUAAUAACAUGAAUAAACUAAUGAUAGAUUGAUUUAUUUAUUCUCUUUUUAAUUUUUUAUUUAAUCUGUUUUUUUUCACCAAUUUGUAUUAAUUUAAGAAUUUUGAUUUGUCUUAAAAUUAAAAGUGAUAAGUAUCGAAUUGAAUAUAUGUGAAAAUAUGAUGUAGUAUUAUAAAUGUGAAAUUGAAUUAAUAUCAUUAUGUGUAAUGCUAUUAUAUUGGAGAAUUGAUUAUUGGUUGAUGAAAUUAUGUAAUGAAAUUGAGAAAUUGUUACCCUAUUAACUGUUCGGGUAGAGUCGGAUAUAGUUGGCAUGCCAUAGGAUAGGAAGAGUUCAGGGUUACUUCGGUUGUACCGAUGAGGCACUGAGUGUCAAACACAUUGAUGAGCGUUGGGCUCAAACUAUUUACUUCGACAUUGUCCGAUGAGGCACUGGGUGUCAAACUGGUUUGAUUGGUUAGAUCCGUAUAUAUGUCCGAGUCCGAUUUAGAUUAAUAGGGGUAUAAAAUAAAUUUUGAUAAAUGAUAUUUGAAUUGGGUUAAUAUUAUGUUUUGAUGAUUUGUAUACAUAUUGUGAUUAACGGAUAUCGAUGACACGUAAAAAAUCAUACGAACCAGUUAUGUGCCUGAUGGGCCGAUAUAAAAAUGUGAUGAAUCAAUAAGUUCAAUUCAGAAUUUAAAUAAGGAAAUGAAAUAGUAAUUGUCAUUAAACUUAAAUUGGAUAUAUAACUGAUAAAUAGAUGGAAUGACAUAAUAUUAUAAGAAUGAUGUUCAUAUGGUUAAAUGUUGAAUUGAUUUUGAGAAUGGUAUUGAAAUGUGAUUUUAGGUGAGGUUUAUUUCAUAUUGAAAUGUUAUAUGAUGAGUUUAAAUGUUAACUCAGCUUGUUGAUUUAUGAUUGUCAUGUUUAGGUAAAAUUGUCAAGUUGAAUAACUUGUUGUGUUAAAUCGUAAAAUAAGGUAAGAUGUUUAAAUACCAGUGAACUUACUAAGCAUUUGUAAUGUUUACCUUCCACUUGUUUCCUUUUCCCUGUAAAUUGCCAACUUAAGGAACGUGUCAAGUGGAUCUUUGAGAAACUCACAUUAUCAUGUUGUUGAUUCGGUAUCUUUUAAUCAUUUAAAGUUCAAUUUUGUGGCAUGUAUAUAGGUAAUUUGUUUUGAUCAAUCUUGAAUGUUGGCACUUUGGUUCUUGAAUGUGAUUGGUAUUUUGAAUGGUUAUAUGUUAUAUACAUAGGUGUAAAGGUUGGUAAUGUGAUGCUCGAGUAUAGGCAUAAUAUGUAUAGAUAUGUUAUCUGGGAGUGAUAGUGUUUUUGGAACCUUAAAUAAUGUUAAACUUAAUUGGCAAAUAGGUUGUGUACUAAAAUGUGCACUUUGACAUUUUUGUCAAGUUAUGGUAGAAGCUUAAAUGGCAUUUAUUGAGGUUGAAAUGUUAAGAUGUUUGGCGUGCCUUAUUGAAUGAUUGAUGAAUACAUAUGCUAUUAAGCUUACCAAAGUGUUCAUUACAUGUGAAAUAACUUGUACGGUUUUGUAGUUAACAAAAUGGAUGAAUUAGGAUGUGUUUAGAAUAAUUUUAUGCAGGUUUGUAUUGGCCAAAUGUACACCAUUUUAGCCUUUAAUUUGUUUUGAUUAUAUUUAUUCUUUUUACUAUAAUGUUUAAAAUUAUUCAUAAUCUCUUUCGAACUCAUAAAUAAAAAAAUACACUAUUUUCAAUCUAACUAUCGUCAAUCUAAGACGAAUUUCAUAGUUUGUCGUUUUAGUAUCUUACGUAAAGAGAACGAAAGAAAAGUUCAACAACCGGAACUUAGACCUGGCAGUCUACACGUCUUCAUUUAAUAUUCGAAAUAGAAUAUUAUUAUUGAGCUUAUAUUACAUGUUACAAUAUAUGUAGAAUGAAACAAAAGAAUACUAUUGAGGAAAUUAAUUAAAUUAAAAUCCCUGUUAAGGAGCAGUGCAUUCUUUAGGAAGUCCCUGAGGGAAUCGCUUGGUGUCAGUGCAGUAAUUGUAAAUCAUGUAAUUUUUCUGAACCCAUUUCAGCCUUUCUUGGCUCGUUAUAUCCAGUUCUUGCGAUAGCCAUGAAUUUUGAGAGGGCGAGGUGGAGGAACAUGAUGAUUUCCCGGAAGACCACACACAUGUAUCAGCCUUGUAAUUCCUGUAAGCAGCGGUGAAAGGAGCUUGGCUCCAAUCUGUCUUAACAAGACCACCUCGAGUGGCCCAAUCAUCGGCGUUCCAAAGACUCGAAUACACUCUCAUCGGCUGGCUCUUUGGGAACGCAACGCCCUUCGAUUCCAAGUUCUUGAACUCUCUGAGCGGAGUCCCAUCAACAGAGAAGCUGUGAACAUUCAAAAGAAUCACAGUGAAACAUAAUGAAAAUAAUCGAAACUGUAAAAUUGAAUGGGGGGGGGGUUGUAAAAGAAGACGUACAUAAUACGUUGAGGGUUCCAAAGAAGGGAGUAGGUGUGGAAGUCUUUGGUGGGAUCGAACCAAAGGUAGAACUGUUGCUCUUUGUCACCUUUGCCUUGUGUAUAUACAUUGGUGUGGACUAUGUAUGGGUCUCCGCUUAGGUUCCCCAAGAACUCGAAGUCGAUUUCAUCCCAUGUCGACCCUUCCGAACGAAGCUGCAAUUGUCACCCCACAUAUCAGCACAGAGUUGUAAAAUAAAUAAGAGACAAGUAUGAUGAUACAACUUACAUAGUAAGUGGUAACAGUGCCAGCAGAGUUGCUUGGGACCAGCUUAAUGUUCAUAUCAAUCUUCCCAAACAGAUAUUGGUUCUUGGAUUGAAAACCAGAGCCGGAGAAUUUGUCGAGGGUGAGAGUGAGAAGGUUUCCGUUUUCGAGAAUCUUGCCCCUCCCAUCUCCCCAAGUAACGUCGAUGUCUUGGUUAAAGUUGGCGGCUGAAGCAACCAUUACAAAGCUGAUUAAGGCAGAUAGUAGCAGCAAUGAAGUCCUCAUUUUUUUUGGUAGGUUUGUAUUAUGAUGUUAGGAAAUGGGGGAGUGAUAGAGGGUGGUUAUAUAGGGGAGGUGGAUUUGGUGAGAAAGAUGAAGAGAGAAGCUUCGUGGUAUGUGUUACCGUCGGGACAUUGAGUGAAUCAAAGUUGUAAACAGCUGGAAACAUAAAGAGAAAGAAAGAAAAGAAAAAGGUCCAAAUCAAUAAUACUGAGGGGUGUUGCUUGGAAGUUGGUACCAAUAUGCAUGUAUAAUUUAUGGAUUUGGUGCCGCCUUUCCAUGUCUGGUUACUGUGCAUUUGCAUGUCAGGAAUUGAACCGGCAGUUGAAGCAGUAAAACUUUGAUUCAGAGUUUCAACUUUAAAAUAAUUAAUAUUCAUUAUAUCCAUCAGUGUAAUAAACAUAUCACAAUCAAAACACACUGUAAUACACUCACCAAUCCCAAACGAGGUUGGGGUUUGGAGGCCAGAACCCAACUGUUUAUACGCAGGCUUAUACGUUGUGCAAUUUGAGUGAACCACAAGAUUUCAUUAGCCUAAAACCAGUGGUGUUAAUUAAUGUGAGUCAUUGUCAUAUUGGCUGACUAAUUUUUGGGGACCAAACCAGAACUCAACCACUGGGCUCAUCACGUUAAUCAAAACAACUAUUAAUUAUUAAUUAUUAAUUAAAUCCAUUACAAAAAAUGCCUGACCAUAACUAUUUUCUUUUCAUUUAUUAUCUAGACUGAAAUUUGAAUCCUUAAUUCAAAAAAGUAAAAUCCAUUGGUGAAUUACUUUGUGUUUGAUUAUUUCAAGGAUUUCCGUAAUGAAAAAAAUCUUAACUUUUGAACAAGUCAAUUGUUCUAGAAAUAUCUUAAAAAGUCAAGUAAUAAUAUACAUUCUAAAAAAAACUAAAAUUGAUAAAUCAAUAAUCUAUUAAAUAUUAAAUUUAGGUGUUAUUUGAUAAAUUAAAAAAAAUUAAAUGUUCAAAAAUUAAGUAUUGAGUUUAAGUUAUAAAAUUUGUUUGAUAUAUUACUUAAAAUUAGUUAUGGAAUAUAAUUAGAUUGUUUGAUAAAUAUAGAUUUUAAAUUAUAAAAAAUUAUAUUCUACAUUUUAUCUUUAAUUUUUAAACAUUUCACCUUAUUCUAAACAAAAAUUAAAAUUUCAAACGUAAAAUUUUUAUAAAAAAUAUAACAUUACAAAAAACUAAAAUUAAAAUAAUUGAAAAUAUUUUCAAUUAAGUGAUAAAUAAUUUUUAUCUACUUAUUAUUUUUCACAUUUUUUUAUAAGGAAUUCUAACAUAUUGCCUUAAUUUUCAACUUUUUAUCAAAGAAGGUCUUAGUCAUGAUUUAAUUAAAAUUUAACAUUGUAUUGUGCCCUCUUCUUUUCAUAGAAAAAGCCUAGCUAUUCAACUUUUUCAAAUUAAAUCUUUACUCUGUGGGCAGCGGCGCUGGCCUUCAAGCUUGUUGCUAAUCACAAUUCCUCUUAACAAUUUUUGUAGUUUUAUUUUGUUUUUAAUUUCAAUCUACAUUAUUGUGGUUUUGUCUACAGUUUUGUGGUUUUAUUUUGUCCACAUUUUUUAUGGUUUUUGUUUUGUCCACUUUGUUUUCUUUGAAAAUAGUGGUGGUUUUAUUUUUACAUUUAAUUUUUUAGUCAUGUUCUAACAGGUAUGUGAGAUAUUGUAACACCCCCAACCCGUAUCCGUCGCCGGAACUGGGUUACGGAGUAUUACCGGAUAUAUCGGAUAACUUAUCACUAAUUCACAAAUAAAUAACAUACAUAGCAUACUUUAAUCAAUACAUUACCUAGAUAUUAGAUACAUGCCACAAUAUCAAAAGAAAGGCACAUCACUAAAAUUCACUAAUUCAAAAAUAUUUUUAAAGUCACGCUUAACUUAUAAUUAUUAAUUAAUAAAUUUUUCUAACUUUUUGAUCGAAUUUAGUGAUCUCAAAUCACUGUUCUGACACUACUGAAAAUUGAGCUGUUACAACUCUUCCCCCCUUAAAAAUUUUCGUCCUCGAAAUUUCUCACUGAUACAAGCUAUUAAGUCAAAUCUUUCUUCCACCUUUUUUAUCGAAGUCCAUAAAAUUAAUCAUAACUCAUAUCACUUCCGAACUCAUAUCAAAACUCAUUUUAGAACUUGAUACUAUGACUGAACUUAAUUGAGUAGCUCUGAUGUUCUCCUGUCAUCACUUUCUCACUAGUAGUAUAACUACCGAGAAUUUCCAGUAAUCGUCAAUCAAAACAUAACUGAGAAACCCGUAUUAUUAAACUCUGACUGAUAUUUUUGACGUGGUUGCAUCUGUAACUUUCAACUGAUAUUUGUUUCUUUUUUUUUCCAUGAAAGCGUCAAGUAAUAUCAUUUUACACAACUGCAAUAACUUCAACAACAAGGACAACUUUAACCCAUAAUAAUAUUUCCCGAUUAAAACUGACCUGAUAGAUAUAUUUCUGUAUCAAGUCUUCUAGAAUCUGAUUUUUUCAUUCUGAUUGUCCUUCUAUUUACCCAUGAAUACACAAAAUUUAUUCCCGGUCCUGAGAAUAGACUCAAAUGCAUAAAAACCAGUUGCCUACGGAUUAUCCUUCAUCCUUUAUCCAGCAGAGCCAUCUCUUGCAAUCUAUGAACCUGAACCAUCUUAUCUAAUACCUUCGAACGAAGACCUUGAAAACCCAUCCAGCCAGAAAAAAGCAGAUAAUUUAAACCCAUUGUGAAGACCCAAAAUGUACUGAUUCCAUCAGUGAUUAUAACUCAAUUAACUUUUCAAUGAAUAACCCACUUUGAUUAGAACAACUGAGUCGAUUUUAUCUAUCAGAUAAUAACAUUUCAGAAUAAUCCAUUCUUCUUGUUGUCAAAACAAUCCAGAUAUACCAUAUAUCAUAAUUUUCUCGGAAUAUCAACAGAAAUUUACCACAAACUGCAUUAACUCAAACGAAUUAUGACAUCUCAUUAUUGACUUGCUGACAUAAUUCAGGAUUACCUGAGAAAUAAAAACCAAUGUACAAAUUUGAGCUCAAUCUUCCACCAUCUACUCUUUUUUCGAUGUCAACCCUUUCAUGAAAACUGGAAAAGAAUUAUAUAUAAUAAACCUAUUUCAAUUAUAAUCAUCGAAGCUUUGAACUAUACCGAAGCCACAACCAUCAGAUAGAUUAAAAACUAUAGAGCAAUAAUAGGACUGGCGUUCCAACUGUAUAGAUAGAACAAUACCUCAACAUCAAUAGUGAAUUCCAAAAUAGAUGAAGAAAAUCGAAAGGAGUCCCAUUAACAACCAGUGCAGUAAUACAACUUCUAUAAUAUGAUAUCCAUAUCACCGAGCUACCAUGAUUGAACCAAAAUUAAUAACAGUAAUAAAUAUAACUACCUCCGGCCAAUGAAUAACUUUUAUAGAUGAACCAUGUUUAAUAAAUAAGAUUAGACCAUAAGAAUGAUAAGAAAACCGAGAUAAUAAAAUCCAAGAUGUGAAGCUAUACUGAAUUUUCGAGAAUAAAAACCACAUUGAAUGAUAAAGAGAUCGAUGAUAUCCCAGAGAAAAUUCAGAAGAAGAAUAUCGCUCGUACACACUAAAAAUAGUUGUGAUAAAGACAAUAUAAAUUCCAUAUAUGUAAUUCGGAAAAUUCAACCAGUAGAAAUAGAAAAUAACUUCAUAUGAUUCUUAUCAUCAAGUCUUCUAUCAAACAUAAUAGAUUAGAAAACCAAAGAAAGAUAGAACAAUGCCAAUCAUAAAUCAACCAGACUAACAAUACUUCCAGCUAACAUUAUGUUUAACCAAACUUUCUAUAUGAUAAGAAUCACAUCUGAAAAUAAACAGUUGAUGCUUCUUUAUUUGUUCGGGUCGUACUGGUUCAACGUUGUAUGUUCUUGUGUACGUUGAUGAUAUUAUUGUUACAGGUGAUGUGCCUUCUGCUAUAGAGUGGUUUGUUCAAUUGUUAAAUAGUAAGUUCUCGCUUAAGGACAUGGGCGAUCUUCAUUACUUUCUUGGGAUAGAAGUUACUCGUUCUUCAUCAGGCUGUCUUCAUCUAUGUCAGAAGAAGUAUAUACGUGAUAUUCUUAUUCGGUGUUCGAUGGAAAAUGCGAAGAGUGUUAAUACACCGAUGAUUAGUUCCUCUAUCAUGACUAGAGAUGGUGGUGAGCGUUUAGAGGAUCCGACUGAAUACAGGAGCCUUGCUGGAGCAUUACAGUAUGUCACUCUUACGCGGCCUGAUGUUGCAUACGCUGUAAAUCGAAUAUGUCAGUUUAUGCAUUGUCCCACUUCUGUUCAUAUGACUGCUCUAAAGCGUAUUUUGAGGUAUCUAGGUGGAACGAUUGAAUUUGGGAUUGUGUUUCGUCCGUCCACUAGUUUGUCAUUAGUUGGGUAUGCUGAUGCAAACUGGGGGUUAGAUUUUGAUGACUGGAGGUCUACUACUGGGUACUAUGUUUAUUUCGGAUGUAAUCCUGUGUCGUGGUGUACGAAGAAACAGCAGGUUGUUGCUCGGUCUACUGCUGAGGCAGAAUACCAGAGUCUUGCCGCGGUCACUAGUGAGGUUACAUGGCUUUUGUCGUUACUUCAAGAAUUACAUGUUCAGUCUACUAGUAUUCCCAAUAUUUGGUGUGACAGUUCUGGUGCGGUUGCAGUUGCUACUAAUCCUGUUGUUCAUUCAAAGUUUAAGCAUGUUGAAUUAGAUUUAUUUUUCGUUCGUGAAAAGGUUGCUGAUGGUACUGUUGCCGUUGGUGAGGUUCCGGCGUGUGAUCAAGUUGCUGAUGUUCUCACUAAGCCACUUUCGCUAUCGAUUUUUGCUCGUUUUCGAAAUUUCCUACGGGUCUUGCCUGUGGAGAAGAUGGAUGAAUAUUAGAGUAUAGAGAGUUGUUAGUUAGUUGUGAAUAUGGUAGAAGGUUGUUGCUUAGUAUGGAGCAGUUACUCAUGUCUAUAAAUACUGUACAUCUGUAUUCAGAGAGCAAGGAUUUUUGAAUAAACAAACAAAGAAGUUUAUUCUUCAUUUUCUAUUUUGUUCUCUGUUUGGCUAGAUAUUUCUUUCUAUUUUAUCUAGCUCUUUCAUUCUCGAAAGGCUAGGCUAGUAACACUUUUACUCUACGAAAGAAAAACUGAGCCACCACAAACCAAGGCAUCCCCCCCCCCCCCCCACAAAAAAAAAUUGUAACUAAACAUCUUGUGAAAAUUCUUAAAAAAAUUAUAAAAAAUUAAAAAUUUUAAAUUUUAUACUGCAGUUUUUUAAUGAUUUUUACAAUUUUUAGUUAACGAUUAUUUUACAGUUUUUUUAAGAAUUGAGUAUUUUGUUACAAAAUUGUGUUUUUUCUCUAGGAAUUUGAGUAUUGGCAAAAUUAGGCAAAAAUGCCACUUUUAAUAAAAAAAAUUAGGAAAUCAAGAUCAAAUUGAUAAAAUAUGUAAGUAUUGAGGACUAAAUAUAUUAUUAUACCAGUUAGAAAAAGACUUUUGAUUAUCAAUUUAACGACAAGUAAUCAAAAUAAAAAUAAAUUCAAACAUUAAUACCUAAAUUAAAAAAUUUUAAAUUAAGUAACCAAAAUAAAAAAUGCGAGCAUAAUUAAGUAAAUUAUCAAUUUAUCCGAAUUUAUAUUAUAUUUAUUAUUAAUAUAUCAAAAUUUAUAUGAAUGUUAUAUUAUUUUAAAUCAUUUUGAGCUUCUAGUCAGCUACUAAAUGCGAAUAUAUAAUGUUGUGGCAUGGCCCAUCGAGGUCUUGCUUCGAAUGGAUGUAUGUUGAUAUAUGUCUCUCACCAACUUCAAAGUCGGCUGGCACACCAAACACGAACAAAUCAUUGGCAAAAUAUCACAAUAUAUAUCCCGAGGUGUCACAUGCGAUUUUUCUAUAGGUUUUCUUUAAGUAAGUUGACCAUAGGUCUACGGUAGCAACUGGAUACAUUUUCAAUCAGAAAAUAUUAAUAUAUACAUAUUUUAUAUAUGAAUAUGAUAAAAUAUCAGAUUAAUUUAAAAAUUUACAUAUAUAACAAUUACAAUUAUAUCAAUAAUUGUAUUGUUAAAAUAUUAUUUGUAUAAAAAAUUAUAAUAUGAUUUUAAUUUUAGAUGGAUAAAAACAGAUUUCGUAGUUGAUUAUUGAGCUUAUAUUAUUAAUUACACCUAUAUAUUUCCCUGGUUAGAUGUUUUGACUUCAAUCAGAGAAACAUUAAAGUAGUAUAAUUUCCGAAACUGAAUAGUAUUAUUUAUUGAGCUUAGUUUUACAUGUUACAAAACAUUGACUGAAACAAAAGAAUACUGUGAGGCUGCUUUUGAACAAAGUAUCUGUCCUUCGGCAUGACUAGCGAUGGGAAUCUUAAUCAACAAAUUAAGAAGCGGUGCACUCUUUAGGAAGUCCCAUAGGAAAUCGCUUGGUGUCGGUGCAGUAAUUGUAAAUCAUAUAAUUUUUCUGAACCCAUUUGAGCCUUUGUUGGCUCGCUAUAUCCAGUUCUUGCGAUAGCCAUGAAUUUUGGGAGGGUGAUGAGGUGUAGGAACAUGAUGAUUUACCGGAAGACCAGACACAUGCAUCAGCUUUGAAAGUCCUGUAAGAAGCAGUGAAAGGAGCUAGGCUCCAAUCCGUCUUAACAAGACCACCUCGAGUGGCCCAAUCAUCGGCGUUCCAAAGACUCGAAUACACUCUCAUCGGCUGGCUCUUUGGGAACGCAACGCCCUUUGAUUCCAAGUUCUUGAACUCUCUAAUUGGUGUCCCAUCAACAGAGAAGCUGUAAACAUUCAAAAGAAUCACAAUUAAACAUACUGAAAAUAAUCGAAACUGAAACGUUUUUAGAAAAAUGGGAUUGUAUAAUAAGACAUACAUAAUACGUUGAGGGAUCCAAAGAAGGGAGUAGGUAUGAAAGUCUUUGGUGGGAUCGAACCAAAGGUAGAACUGUUGCUCUUUGUCACCUUUGCCUUGUGUAUAUACAUUGGUGUGGACUAUGUAUGGGUCUCCGCUUAGGUUCCCCAAGAAUUCGAAGUCGAUUUCAUCCCAUGUCGACCCUUCCGAACGAAGCUGCAAUUGUCACCCCAGAUAUCAACAGAGUUCUAACAUAAAUAAGAGACAAGUAUGAUGAUAAAACUUACAUAAUAAGUGGUAACAGUGCCAGCAGAGUUGCCUGGGACCAGCUUAAUGUUCAUAUCGAUCUUCCCAAAGAGAUACUGGUUCUUGGAUUGAAAACCAGAGCCGGAGAAUUUGUCGAGGGUGAGAGUGAGAAGGUUUCCGUUUUCGAGAAUCUUGCCCCUCCCAUCUCCCCAAGUAACGUCGAUGUCUUGGUUAAAGUUGGCGGCUGAAGCAACUAUUACCAAGCUGAUUACAACAGAUACCAGCAGUGAACUCUUCAUAUUUUAUUUAUCU
rnacentral:lncRNA from 1 species